UUUGCAUCCAAGACAUUUACUUAAAACCCACAAACACCAUGAAGCUCACGCCGCUUCCACUCAAGGAGCUGACCCGCAUUCUGCUCCAGCUCCCCUGCUAGGCCUAUGCCCUCCUGGGGUGGGUGUGUGGGGACAUCAACCCUUGGUACUGUGACAAUGUUGCCUGGCAGGCAAAAGCUUCUGGGAAUCCCUGCAUUUCGCCAUAGCAUCUCUCCAGCUCUUGGACCUGGGUCUGCUACUGACACCCUUGGCCUGUUCCUGUAACCCCUCCCCUCCCCCUCCAAUCAGGAGGACUCCUCUAGGAACUUGCUGCAGGCCCCUCCUUAUCUCCAGCCGUGUCUGGGGAGGCCUGGUCCUCUGGCAAGUUCUUUAAAUCAUGUCCUUCCUGUGAUGCCAAGUCGACAAGCAGAUUUUUCAACUUUUGAUUUUCUUCACACCGCUUUAGGGAACCCUGCAGCUCAGACACUUAGACAGAUUUUUAUUAAUUUCCCUGCUGGCGUUAAGAGCUAUUGUUGUUAAUCUCAGCAUUCCCUCAGAGUCUGUCAACCUUUUCUCUAUAAGCAGGAUUUCCAUGGGCAGCUCUUCCAACUUCUGGUCAUUCUCUUGUUCAAAGGCAUGGCAGCCCUUGCGUCCUCUGGACAAGAGAACUCCCCACAAGAAAAAGGCUCCCCAGGUGAUAUGCCACCAGGACAUCAGGCUGAAGUCAGCCCCAGGCCCAGGGUAUUCAGCCUAUGUACCCACCAGCAACUCAGCACAGACGGACUGUGAUUUGAAGGCUCCAAGCUCGGCCAGGCCUUGGCACCUGGCCAGGAACCGCUGACCUUCCUGGGCCGGCCUCGCGCGGAGGCAGCAACCUCCGCCUUCACAGACAGCCCCACCCGGCCGCUCCGUGGAAGAUGCAUUUCUGCCUGGACCGGUGGCCUCGGAUUUCUCAUGUCUGGGUCAAGAUGCCCCACGUUUUGGUGUAGAGGAUGUUCUUUGUGCCUUAUUUCCUGGCCUUCCAGCUGCUUUACAGAUUGAUCGAAUGGUGGUGGGGCACUGGGGGCCUCUGGGACUCAUUUUUCCCUUUCUGGCGGGUGGGGCACCACCUGGGAGCCAGGGACAUGGGCAGGGCCAAGGUUGCCAGGAGGCGAUGGGAGGUUUCUGAGGCCGUUCUCCUCACUCUGCAACUUCCGGGCGCAGAUUCUCCCAUGCAGCACAGUGGUGGGGCCCACAACACUGGGACAAGGUAUUUUUCUUCUUCCAGCCAGCUCACCUGGGUCCGGCAGAGGUGCUGAUGGCCACAGGCAGAUGAGGACCCGGGGAACGGAUAGGGAAGACUUGGGAUGGGACACCGGGUGUCCAAAUGCGGGGUGGGGGUGUCCCUGAGGACGAGGAGUGGGGGUCAGCAGCUGCCUUUUGCUGCACUGGGUCGGAGGGCUCCUGGUCUGGGGGUGGCCAGGGGACUCAUUUGCCCUGUGCUGUGAUGGGUCGGAGGGCUUCUGGUCAGCUGGGUGUCUGGGGGACACUGCUACCUGUGCUCAACCCGGUUGCGAUGCUGGGAGUGCCCUUCCCGGCUGGGGGGGCGGGAUCACCGAAUGGGAACGCGGGGCUGAGGAGCGCUGCGGGCCGGGCCGCGGGGCCUUGAGGCUUGAGGGCCGGUGCGGGGACCUGCCGGACUGCAGAAGGCGGUGAAGGUGGACUCGAACGAGAAAGGCGGAGCGCAGGGUGUGGGCUAGAGGCCCCGGCAGGACGAGUGGGCAGGGGCGCGCUACCCUUUGGUGUGGGAACGAGGCAAAGAGCAGGAGGAGCUGAGGUGGAAGCGCCGUCUCUCUCCCCUCACUGAGGCCUGGGGCUGGCGCCCGGGCCCAUCACAAUGCCUCCUCGUGAUGUCACUACCGUGCCUGUGUCCAUUCGCCAGGAGGCCCUGAGCUUGGUUUUGCUGGUGCAGCCAAUCACCAGGCAGCUCUGCGAGCCCGUCGCCAGGUGGCUCUCAUUGUGGCCCUCCUGAUGUCGCCUCUAGGAUGCCAUACCCUAAGAGGCAGAUUGGUGUCCAUACUGACCCUUGCCCCUUGCAGCUCCAGGCUCCCUCUCCCCGGUUGCAGAGCCUUCAUUUCACAGGUGGAACAAAUGGGGGUGAUGGCAGCCUAACUACCUGCUCCCGGGACCUGCCAGGGUCUGAGAGCGGACAGAGGGCAGGCUGCCCUCAAGUGGUGUGGGUCCUCCCUGGGCCCGUCCAUCACAGAAGCUCCGCCCAGGGGUUUCUAUGGUGACCCAAGCGCCUGGAUCCUGACACUGCGAUUACUUGGUUUGCUGUCCCAGCUUCUCCCAUCUGAUACCGGUUGUGAGGACUGGACCUCUGGAAAAGGGAGAUCGAGUGCAGAGUGGGUGGGCUGCAGGUGGCCUAGGACAAGGACAGAGGAGGUCACCACCACAGCAUGGCUGAUGGCUGAUGAGUGGUGUGUAAAUCCAUGCCCGGGAUCUGAACGUGUGAACCCUUGGCUGCCGAAGCAGAGUGCACCAACUUAACCACUAUGUCCACUGGCCGACCCUACCAGGGAAUAUCUUCAAAAUAAACUCCCGGCUCCCCCCAGCCGCUAAGAGAUUGUGUUUCAUUCUACCUGGAGCCAAGGCUGAGACAGAUACAUUGAAGUCCAAUCUCCUUUUGUCCUAUGAGUUCUUUUUCUUUUGCU
ensembl:lncRNA